ACUAUCAAAUAGGGUUUAUAAAAAAUAAAAAAUUUCAAAUAGGGGUAUGUUAGGCAUCCGAAAUUUUUUUUAAUGUGUGAAGUCAAACAUAAUUAAUGAAUUUACUGAUAUGGAAUCUAGUCAAUAGGUUUUAUUCAAGAAAAAAACUUAUGUUGGAUUUUAUGUAGAGAAAAAUUAAGUUUUAGGGGCUAAAGUCAUAUUUUCAAAAAAAAAUUAAGGGUUUUUAUCAUAAAUAGUCUUCGAAAUUCAUCCAUCUUUCAAGAUAGUUUCUGAAAUUUAAAAUCGAUCAAUGUAGUCCCUUAAAAUAGGUGUUGCAAAUCAUUGUGGUCCUUCCGUCAUAAUUCCGUUAAAAUUUCUGUUAUGUACUCAAGCACUACGACCCCCACCAAGGUUGAGGGGAGAUAUUUAAUUUUUAAGGUUUUGUUUUUUAAAUUUUUUAAAUUCCUUUCUCUUAAAUUCUUGAACUUUCCCUAGCUUGAUUUGUGUUUUUCCAUCUGGGGUCUUUUUGGGUUCUUCAAGCCACCGGCUCAC
rnacentral:lncRNA from 1 species